GACGAACGCUGGCGGCGUGCUUAACACAUGCAAGUCGAACGGAAAGGCCUCUUUCGGGGGGUACUCGAGUGGCGAACGGGUGAGUAACACGUGAGUAACCUGCCCUUGACUUUGGGAUAACUUCAGGAAACUGGGGCUAAUACCGGAUAGGAGCUCCUGCUGCAUGGUGGGGGUUGGAAAGUUUCGGCGGUUGGGGGUGGACUCGCGGCUUAUCAGCUUGUUGGUGGGGUAGUGGCUUACCAAGGCUUUGACGGGUAGCCGGCCUGAGAGGGUGACCGGCCACCUUGGGACUGAGGUACGGCCCCGACUCCUACGGGAGGCAGCUGUGGGGAAUAUUGCACAAUGGGUGGAAGCCUGAUGCAGCAACGCCGUGUGCGGGAUGACGGCCUUCGGGUUGUAGACCGCUUUCGCUCAUGACGAAGCUUUGUGUGACGGUAGUGGGUAAAGAAGCACCGGCUAACUACGUG
rnacentral:rRNA from 1 species